AGCGAACGCUGGCGGCAGGCCUAACACAUGCAAGUCGAACGAACCUUUCGGGGUUAGUGGCGGACGGGUGAGUAACACGUGGGAACGUGCCUUUAGGUUCGGAAUAACUCAGGGAAACUUGUGCUAAUACCGAAUGUGCCCUUCGGGGGAAAGAUUAAUCGCCUUUAGAGCGGCCCGCGUCUGAUUAGCUAGUUGGUUGAGGUAAUGGCUCACCAAGGCGACGAUCAGUAGCUGGUCUGAGAGGAUGAUCAGCCACAUUGGGACUGAGACACGGCCCAAACGCCUGCGGGAGGCGGCAGUGGGGAAUCUUGAGGAAUGGGCGAAAGCCUGACGCGGCCAUGCCGCGUGAAGGAUGAAGGGCUUAGGAUUGUAAAAUUCUUUCACCGGGGACGAUAAUGACGGUACCCGGAGAAGAAGCCCCGGCUAACUUCGUG
rnacentral:rRNA from 1 species